UGGGGAAUAUUGGACAAUGGGGGAAACCCUGAUCCAGCCAUGCCGCGUGAGUGAUGAAGGCCUUCGGGUUGUAAAGCUCUUUUGUCAGGGAAGAUGAUGACGGUACCUGAAGAAUAAGCCCCGGCUAACUUCGUGCCAGCAGCCGCGGUAAUACGAAGGGGGCUAGCGUUGUUCGGAAUUACUGGGCGUAAAGGGCGCGUAGGCGGCUCUACAAGUCAGGAGUGAAAUCCCUAGGCUCAACCUAGGAAUUGCUUUUGAGACUGUAGGGCUUGAGUGCAGGAGAGGUAAGUGGAAUUCCCAGUGUAGAGGUAAAAUUCGUAGAUAUUGGGAGGAACACCAGUGGCGAAGGCGGCUUACUGGCCUGUAACUGACGCUGAGGCGCGAAAGCGUGGGGAGCAAACAGGAUUAGAUACCCCCGUAGUCC
rnacentral:rRNA from 1 species